rnacentral:rRNA from 1 species
CGAAACUUGCCCCGAGAUGAGUUCUCCCUGACUCCUUGAGAGUCCUGAAGGAACGUUGAAGACGACGACGUUGAUAGGCCGGGUGUGUAAGCGCAGCGAUGCGUUGAGCUAACCGGUACUAAUGAACCGUGAGGCUUAACCUUACAACGCCGAAGCUGUU